CAAUAAAAAAAGUAUAAGAAAAAAAUUAUUUAAUAUAUUUUUUAUGGAAAAAAUGGUACUAAUUUAUCCGAAUUAUAAAUAAUUUUGAAUUGGUUAUCUAACCCUUUCAAAAACUUUAAUUUAUUAUUUAAUUUUUUAAUUUGUUUGAUUUGAGUUAGUCAGCGGCAUUUUGACUAUAAAAUUUGAAUGCAUAAUUUAUAUUUAUAGGCUUAGUUAGUAUACUUUAUUCAAUUCUCACAAUUAUAAAUUUAUUAAAAGAAUUAGCUUGAAAUUUGAAGUUGAAGCACUGCUAAUUGAUUCAAAUCAAACAAAAUGAAAGAGUUGGUGAAAUCAAAAUUUUUAAAAAUUAGGUAGCCGAUUCGAAAUGUUCAAAGUUUAGAUGAGUUCUGAACGUUUUUAACUAUUACUAUAAGCAAUGAUUUUUACUACAACAGUGAGAAAAAAAAAAUCUUAGAUAUCUUUUAGCGGAAUGGUCCUAAUAUAAAACUACUUUAUUUGCUGUUCGUGUGGGCACCGAUAGGGAUGUAAACAAAGCGGAUCUAGGGUGGGAGGGGUCUCCUAUUUUUUGACCUAUUUUUUUGGUGGAAUUAUUAUUCUAUUUUUCGUACUCACUUAUAACUGCUCCAUUCAUGUCGGAAAGAAAACACUAAAGUUUUUACUGGAUUUUGAAACAAACUUUUACUAAAUUUUUAGCGAAUCAAAGCAGAUUAAAUGAGGGAAGAGAUCUCCCACCUUCUAUUCUAUUUUUCUUCUAUUUUUCUAGUCAUUCACGACGGAAUCAGAAUAGAGACGGAAGCUUCAUCAACCCGGAUUCAUUUACAUCCCUACAUUAAAAUCCGGAUUCAUUUACAUCCCUACAUUAUAAUUCACACUAUACAUAUAAUACAGAUGAUGCAAUCUUACGUUGAGAACAGUCGAAUAAUAAAAGUUCCAAAUCCUAUGUGAACAGUGGAUGUUAUAAGCUUUAUCCCAAGGGUUUCAGCAUUUAAAGAAAAACUAAGCUCACUAACACAUUUAAGCCAAUGGAUUUGCUUUACUCACACAGCCAAUUAUACUACUGAACAUCUAUUAUAAUACUACUCAAAUACUAAACCAAAUGUAUGCAAAAAUGUACGUAGAUAACAUAUCUACUCUUUUAUGUUUACGAGCCAAAGUUGCAGCACACGAAAGUCGAAUAUUUCAAACAUAAGUGCGCAUGCGGCUGAUAAGGAUUACUUAACCGAGUUAGCAGUAUUUACACCGCAGAUGAUCAUCACAUGCAUAAGAAUAGCACAACAGCUUCAAGCACUCCGUUUUGAAAGCAAAGCUCUUUCAGAUGCCCCUCAUCCAUUCUUACAAAAGACCCGAGACUACAAAAAGCAAGUGAAAUGUAACCCUACGAGCGAAACGGUGAAGUUCCGACGCGAAACGUUUGUAGAUAUCUGAUCUCCAUUUCACUUCGUAGGAGGAGCUCUGUAGUACGCUGGAACUGUAGCGGGGAAGAACAUUUGCCUAACCCCUUCUGCUUUUAUUAUGGGGAAAAUAAUACCUGAGGCGGCCUGCGCAGCAAACAUUCCACCGUAAGGUACAGGAAAUGAAAAACAAAAGAGAAACAGAUACAUCUCAGAAAGAAAGAGAGAGAGCUUCUCGUAGCGAUUUGAAGCUCUAGUGAGUGCCAAUUUGGCCGAGCUUUGGGAAUCGCUUCUCUAUGUAGAAACAGGUGAUAAGUGAAAUCAGCUAGAGAUUGCUUACAGCGAAAGUAGAAGAAUGAUUGGAAAUUGGAAAUAUCUAUCGCUAUUUCUACGAAUUACAAGAAUGAUAGGAACAUCGGAAAACUAUAAUAAAGAAAUCACAACUAUUGGAAUUACUAAAAAUGUUCAAUACUUACAGAAAUCAGCCGAGCUCCGAUCCAGAGUCUCUUGGGAGAAGGAAACGGCAAUAAUAAACGACCCACGCCAUAUAUGGCCACAGCAAAGAAGUGGGCAACCAAGCUCAGGGGACGAGGAUUAAGACCAGAGAGCAAAGACACGGGCCCGGUAGAGAAGAUACCUCCCAGGCUUAGAUAAUCAAAACACGCUUGGCGCAUUUCAUUCCUAGCUCGAUCCGGCGAGGCGCUGAAGACCUUGUAGAGUGCGCCAGCCAAAGUGUUUAUUGUGGAUGCAACCGGCUAGAAAAGAAAUUGAAAAAUGCAAGUUCUUGAUCAGUUACCCUUCAGUGAGAUCAUGGCUUUGAAAUUUUAUAAAGAUGUGACGAGUUUAAGAUAAAGGGAUAAAUUUAUGGAAGUUCUCCCUUUUUUGACUUACCGCAAUUUAGUCCCUUUUUCACUUAAAUAAAUAAACCUAUCAUUUUAUACUCAAAUUUCAAAAUCCCUGAUGUCUGCUAGGGUUUGUGCAUAGAAUAUGGCCUUAUCUUGCUAAACUACAUUUUUACACCCUCUUCGGGUGAAAAUGAAAUAGCACAGUAAGUGAUGGAUAAAAUUGUCCAUACGCUUCGCUUCAAUCAGCUGGAGAGCAUGUAUACUAACAGGCAUUCAGGGAUGCUAAUAAAAAAUGAACUAAAGUAAAAUAAUGCAAAAGAAUAAGUUCGAAAAGAAGCAAAUUCAUUUCACGUUACACGAAAUUAUGCCAAUUCCAAGUAUUGAAUAAGCAAAUUAUUUGAUAGCUCAAUAAAUAGCCAAAGAUUUUCCUUUAAACUCUACUAGAAAUUUAAAAGCUUACCUUCCGUAAGGUGUAGAAUGAUUCUAGGUAUCUGCAAAGAGAAGAAGCAUCAUGCAAAUCACGAAGAGGCUGGAGAAGGUUUCGCAGUACGACGAUAUCAGACAAGGCCACAGUCAUUCCUCCGCCUGUUAAAGGAUGGCGCAUAUUGAAUGCAUCCCCCAUUAGGAGAGCUCCGGGAGUGGGAUGAGGGGCAGCUGGCAUGCUCCUAUUAGGCAUAGUUCUUAUGUUUCCCUUAUCAAUGGCUGCUAUGAAGGCAUCAUACAGUUCCGGUGGAAUCUAACAUAGAAAUGUUACAAAAUAAAAAACAUAUAUCACGAGUAUCAGGUAAACAAAAUAAAAUCAUAUACUUCUUAAUAAGGGAGUAUUACAUAUAUAAUCUCCUGCAAAUCAUUUAUUUGCAUAAGUACACAUGUAAAACCUGAACGUAUGUGGCCCUCGAAAGUGCAGUUUCUUAUUGGGGGAAAAACAAAACACUCAUUGUAAGUUGGGAAACCAUUUGAUUCAUGAGAAGUUGGUUUUGCACUAGUAAGUUUUGCACUAGUAAGUUUUUUAAAGAGGUGCACUUGGGAUAUAUAAGAGGGAGAGAGAGAAUUUUGCAGGAUGACAUGUAGAAGUUUCUAAUUUAAAUAUACACUGCUACCUACUGAAGUAUACCUGAGGUGCUACCACAGUCUUGAGAUAAUUCGCCAUUUCUCCAUUGGCUAUAGAAGGCACCUUCUGGCCAGGAACAUCAACCAAACAGCGAAUCUCCGUGCUACUUAUUGGAUAGAAUAAAAUGGGUGAAGGAUCCGCUAAAAUGACGUGCCCGUGAUUUGGAUAAGGAAGGUUACAGUUCUCCAGAACCAACCCAACAAAACAUGAGGGCACAUCAACCUAAAAGAAAAGAAAAAGGAAAACUCUACGCUUUACUUAAAUGCACCAUGUAUAAAUGGAAAUGUACGGAAAACUCAAAACAUUGACAAAUGUAUUUUUACCCUUGGAGAGCAGAGGGAGCGCCUCAAAUUAGAGAAGCAGCCAUCACAUACAACCGUAAGAGGUGCAUAAGCUUUGAAUUCUUCACCAGAUUUGGUCUUGUAUAGAACACCCUUAACAGUACCAUUUUCUUCGAGCAGUGAUGUUACAGUUCCCUGUUCCAAUCGGACACUACAGAAUGUUCAAAAAAAAAGAGUCAAUUCUUGUGCCCUAACCAGUGAAUGCAUGAAGAAAAUGAAGUUUACAACAAAGGGUUCAAGAGUAACUAAGAAGAGAAGUAAACAAGAUAACCAGCAAUAACCCGUAAGAAUCUAUCCAAUAAUAACAUUAUAAUAGCAAUUGGGGAAAACGUCAUGCUUUUAUUGCAACAUUCUAGCAAAUACAUAGCAGUAAAUUGAUUUAGAACAAUUAAGUUCAAGAAUCCCAGCCUUCUGCUCGAGGCCAACAACAAGAAAUAUUAGAAUAAUCUCUUUUCACAAACCAAAUAUUGCAGCAGAUUUCUUUCCUGCUCUUGCACUCAAUGCAGAACAAACCAGAUAAGAGUCCUAUACGAAUAUUUUCCCUAUAUUUUCUGGUUAAUAUGUUUGUCUAAUUACUUGAAGCUACAUAAGGAAAAAGAGAAAUACAGGCCUAGAUAUGAAUUCAAGCACUUCCAACGUAAAACUGAAGGACUUCAACCGAGAUAUGUCAUUCUGUCUCUUUAAUUUCUGACUAAAUCAGAUAGAAAUAGAAAGCCUCAGAAGGAAGUGUUACUUGGGCAAAGAUGCAGCUUUCUCACGCAUCCUCUGUAUGAACCGGCCAUUGUGGAAGCUUCUUCCAGCAACAUCUGAGUGGAAUUUCUCCAAGGGGUAAGAAACUUUCGCGUUCUUUCCAUCUUUGAACAAAGCAUACCCAAGGACUCGUUGAGCAUCGAUUUCUUUCACACAAUCUGGAGAAAAAUGCAGGCCAGUGACAAGGUAUAUCUAUUUUGCAGGAUAUUUUACAAUAACAAUCAAGUCAAGCAGGCUACCAAUUUAUAUAUGAGGGCAUGGAGGCUAGGUAAUUCUCAAAGCAAUUUGAACAUAUGAACAAGUUUUGAAAGGGAUGAAAAGUAGAAUUAAGAUGAUUUGCCAUGCUUACCCUCAAGGCCCAGCUCAAUCAAUUUUAAGUAGCCUCCCGGUUGUAACAAUUCACCAACAAUCCGAUCAGGCUCCGACAAGUCUCUUUCGAUGACAUGUACUCGACGACCGUCCUACAAUAAAGAAAAAAUAGUAUAAUCUAGCAAUGUAAGCUAGGUCGAAAGAGUACAAAACUCUCAACCUUUUAUUUUACGUAACUCUUUUUCAGUUUUAAUUUCCAAGGCUAUAUUUCUACAAGCAUCUUUACUAGAAACCUAAGAGAGAAAAGAAAUGAGACGGACUAAGAACUUCAUGCUUAGAUUUUAUUUAUUUAUUUACUUACUUGUAAAGAAGGACAAGAAACAUAUAAAAAGAUGAAAUCAGAAGUAAGUCGAGCAGGGUAGGUAAAGAUCAAACUGCAUUGAACAUUUGAUUCACAAUUAUCACCCCAAGCAUUCAAAUUUUCAUUCAAAGAUUUGAAAGCCAGAAUAAAGGAAUUAUUCUAUAUGACUUAUCCCUGAAAAUGACACCAAGCCGAAAAUUUGACAUUUUUCGAUAAAGAUUUGGAGAUUAACUGUUAGACUAAUCUUUCUGCAGCAUGUUAGUAAAUAGUUUUGACUUUUCACCAGAAUGCUAAAUACACCCCUAGGCCCAUUUCCUAUCAGAUUGACCUUUUCCAACAAUAAGGUAUCGGAGCUAACUCUGAACCCCUUCAUUCAGUGACAUCCUGGAUCCAAUCCCCACCUUCAACGUCUAAAGGGGUUAAAUUCUCUCAUUAUAUAUUUAUAUUCUAAUGGAUUAAAUCACAAAGUAUUACCUCACAUGUCGAUUCUACGUCCAUUUCAACCAUUUCAAAACCAUGAUGCAUGUUAGGUGUGAUGUCAAUUAAUGGAGAUGUUAACUAUAUUGAUGGGCCCGUUUCCAAUUAUAUCGAUAUUGUGGGCAGCGUAAUAUUGAAAAGGGUUUAUUUUGAAACGUCCCUGGUAGCUCUCUCAUCUAUGCUCUUAUUUUUCCAUUUUAUUCUUUUAAGUAAUAUAAAGAUCAUAAAUUCAAAACUUUCUCCAAUACUUCUUACGGUAUCUGAUUACAAAUUUUACCGAUCAGCAAUCAUAGAAACGGCUUCAUUCUGGUUAAAAGUACCAAACUUUCCUAAUAUUUUCUGCACCACAGAGGGGUUUAUUGUGCAUUCCCUACUAAUCAACACAAUCUACGGGCACAACAGAAGCGAAUAGAGAGAGGAAAUGGGAAUAUGAUGGGCAAAUAGUAAUAUAUAGAAGCAAACUCCCAUCUAAUAUCGAUUCAAACCCUUUUGGAGCAUUCACAUUUUGCCAAGUCCCAUUACCUUUCCGAGGGUGUAGGCGAGGGCGGAUCCGGCGACCCCAGCGCCGACGACGAUCACGUCGGCGGCACCGCCGUCUCCGGCCACCUCAGCGCCGGAUUCCCAUUUCCCGGCGACCUCUGCCGCCGCCGCCGGAGAUACGGCGACCGCCGCCGUGCUCCGCCGCCUCCUCCGAUGGAAUCCGACGAGGAGGAAGAGGAACCCUACGAUCGCCGCGACGAUCGCUCCGAAGAGGUGGUGCUCCCCCACCAUCCCUUCCUCCGCAGAAGAAUCGCGAAGCCCCUCCCUCUCCCUCUCCCUCUCCCUCUCCCUCUCUCUAAAUCGCAGUCGCUUCUCCUCCACCUUUCGUCCUCGCCGAGCAAAUGGGUAAUAUGUAUAUACAUAUAUGGACGGGGUCGGGUUCUCCGCCUCCUCCGCCUCCGCGCUCCUCUCUCUCUCUACCGUUGCUUCGCGAGUUUUUAAUUAGGCCAGAUUUUAUGGAUGACACCCUCAUCUAUGCCAAAUUUUGAAAUGCCCCCCUCGCCACUAUUCUAUCUAUUAAUUAUUAGGGGCAAUUGCUUGUAUACCCUUGAAAAGUUUUCGACUUUCUUAUUUAAUCCUCUUAAAAUUUUAAUAUCAAAAAUAUUUUUUUAAUAUUUCAAGUUCUUUUAAAUAUAUCCCAAUAGUUAAAUUCUGUCAGCGAACGGUUAAGAACGACCGUUAUCUCUGUAAAAUUACUAAUUUUCUCUUUCAAAUAUACCUUCUACCAUCAUCAACUUCUCUUAUUUGCUCUUGAGUUAGGGACAAAAUAGGUAUUUUAUUUUUUAAUUAUGAUAAAAUUUUAGCUCAAGUUUAACUCGAGAUGACUUAACAAACACUAACAGUAAAAAUAUUUUUGAAUAACAAAAAAAUUAAAACAAAAAAAUACAUGUAAAUAAAAUAUUUCAUAAAUCUUGAGAAAUAUAUAGACAAUUAUUCCUAAUUAGUAAUACCCUGUCAAUAAGAAAUGGCAAGAAAUGAGAAAAAAACUUCAAUGGAGAGUUCCCCAAUAAUGUCUCAUUAAAGAGCUUUGAUUUCUGUCAUGUCACAGUUUUAUUUCUAUCUAAUUACUGUAAUCCUCUACUUUAUAAGGUUUAAUUUUUUUAUGUUUUAGCAUUAAAAUAAUACAUAAUAAAUUUUUAGAUAAAAAUAAAACGAAUACGUGGCAACAAAUUGGAGACUCUCUAAUGAGGUAUUGUUGUGAAGCUUUUUUCUAAAGUUUUAUCCACAAAUCUGUAUGAGACAUAUAUGAGAUGGAAUACUUAACUCUAUCAUAAAUUCAGAGCAAAUAGUAAUAUAAUAUUUGCUAUACCUCGAAUUCGAACACAUCCUAUAUCUAACCUAAAUUUUGGAAUUAAAUUUAAUAAAACUUUAACUAACUGUCAUAACUACAAUGAAAAAAAAUCGAUGCUCCGAAAUGUAAAUUAGAAAUAAGGAAAAAAUACAAUUUCAAAUUGAGUAGCCUAUUUCCAAAUUCCCUAUUGUUGAGGGGUCUUCAUCCAUUUCCAUUUUAUGAAAAAAAAAAAAGAAAUUAUAUAAAAUUAGCUCAAAGAUGAUAUGUUGUGGGGAGUGAUGAGUUCCUUAUUCUUACCGCGCGUGCCGGACACCGUGUGACAGCUGGCACACGAAUCUCGGGGCGGGGCCUACCCCUUCCGCAUCGCUCCAACACGAACCUUAAAGCAGAUUAUGAUCCAUGAUGGUGCUGAUGAGCCAGGGGAAAUUAGUACCUGCACCGGGUGCACCACAUCAGUUGUGCACCACGGAGAACUAACUCUCUCUCUCCAGUGUUAAGCGGUUCAGAUUUGAAAGGUAGGUAAAAUGGAGGGAGAUGGGGCUGCGGUGCACGCAUGACGUGGUGCACGUAGUUUACUCAAUUAUUGGACACGAAACCGCUGCGAUGGCUUUUGGUUCUCCCGAGUCAACAAAACCUGGUUCGGGACCCGGAUUUAAGGAGCAUUAAUUAAUUAAUUAGUACUAAUCCCAGUAGUUUGCACAAAAGGGUAAAAUGCCACUGAAUUUCGUAGAAAUUACGGGUAAACCCUACAUGGUUUUGAGAGAAAUUCUCCAAACAGAGGAGGGUAAAAUUGUCUUUCUAAAAUGUCCAAGAUCCGAAUCGUGGGGUCUAGUGGGUGUUACAAAGUGCUGUUUGUCGUUUGAUCAGGGAGUUUAAGGCUAAUUGACUUUUCUUAAUUAUAUAGAUUAUAGUAAAAAAAAAAAUUUAAAAAAAUGAUGCAUGAGAUGUGAAACAAAGUAUUAUCCUAACUCAUUUUAAUAAAAUUUUACAAUCUAAUUUAUUAAUUUUUUAAAAAUUUUAACCUAUUUAUAUAAAUAAAGUAUAGAAAAAUAAUUAAUAUAAUAAUUUGUGAUAAAAAAAAGUAAUUAAUACGAAAAGUAAAGGGCAAGCAGGUUUUUAUUUAAUUUAGCUUUUUUUUUUUUUUCUAAAAAAGUCCAUAGCCCAAAGGACUCAUCAAUAAAUGCAUAUCAAAAAAGUUAAUUUUGCAAAGUCCAUAAUCUACAAUACCUACCAACGGUACUGGCACUGAUUGAUGUGGUACGCAGUUAAGAAGUGGGGUGUUAACUAUCGAUCACACCAUAUAACUGCGCACACAUCUCAUCUAUUAAAUAUAUGGGAUAUAAGAUAUACACUCCUAAUAGGAUGUAUAUGUGGCAAUCAGUGCAGUAUGCAGUUAAGAAGUGGGGUGUUAACUAUCGAUCACAUUAUGUAACUGGCGCACACACCUCAUCUAUUAAAUAGAUGGGAUAUAAAAUAUACAUCCCUAAUAGAGUGUACAUGUAGCAUUACUUUCACCCCACCCAUCUAAGAAUAGGGUAUUGUCCACUAGUCACUUGAUGCGACUAGUGAACAAUAACCCCCCACCAUCAGAUGGGUGGAUGUACAUCCAAUCGGGACGUACAAGAUACACUCCACCCAUCUAAGGGUAGACUGUUGUCCACUAAUUAUUUGGUGUGACUGGUGGACAAUACCCCCACCUUUAAAUGAGUGGAGUGUAUAUCUUACAGUUCCAAAGGGGACAAAAAAUUUAUGGGCAUAGUCCCCAAACUAAUUAGUUUGGGGACUAUGCGGAUCGGCGCCAUGUGGCCCGUCCGACGGUCACGAAUGGAAAGAAAUAAAAAAAAAAAGGCCUUCUAGUUUGGAGACUACGCCAAUAAAAUUUUUGUCCUUCCAAAGGGGUGUACCAUAGCACUACUCAUUAAAAAAUUAAAAUAUCAUGUAUAUUCUCUCAAAUUUAAAAAACUUUAAAAAAUAACUCUGUCGAUAUGUGUCUGUCCAUAUUAAAGUUAAUAAUAUUUAUAUUCCAACUUUACCCCUCUCAAUUAUUUAAUGAUCAAUUACUAAUUCUAUUUCAUAAAUACUCUCCAUUAUAUUUCAAAAUUAAUUAAAUUCUAUCUAAACUACAAAUUUAGUAAAAUUCAAUUGAUUUUAGUUUUUUAAAAAAUAUUCAUUUCAAUUAAAAAAAUAUUUUUAUUUGGAAUAAAUUGUAGUUAAAUUAAAUUUUAUUUUGCUUUAUCGUCAGAAUGAUAAGAUAAUUUAUUUUAGUUAUAUUAACUUUUUUUUUUUUUACUACACUGAUUGUAAAUUAAUAAAUUUUUUUCAUUUGACUAUUUAAUGUAGAAAAAAUUCGUCGCUAUGAAUACUUUGUAAUUAAGAGCAAUACAUUAGUAUAAAAUCCGAUCAUAAAUAAACAAAAAAUAGUUGUAUUAUCAAAGGACAAACUAAAUUCUUGUACAUGAACCAAAAAUAAUUUAAAUAAUAAAUUGAAAAGAUAAAAAUUUUAGGUAAUGAAACUAGCAUAAAUUCAUUAAAUUUAAUUUUAGGUAAUGUUCACAAAGUAAGAUAAUUAUUUCAUUAAAUUUAACACUUUUGACUUUUUCAGUUGAAACUAGCAUAUAUUCAUUUAAUAGUUAAUUAUUAAUACCUAAUUAAUCUAAUAAUUGAAUUUUUUUAUUUAACUGAUUACAAUAUUUGAAAUCUGAAUGGAUAACAAAAAAAUUUUUAAAAAUGGACCACGUACAUUUAUAUGCCCCUCACAAGUUUAGAGACAAAAUGGACAAUUUUAUUCUUAAUCUUCAUUAUAUUAUGGUAUAACUAAGAUUAAAAUGAGAUGAGGUUUUUUUGAAACAAAGUAAAUAUUUAUAGGAACAAUUUCAAUAUUACAAAUUAUGUAGGGGCAUUUAUGAUAGUUUUAAACUUUUUAGUGGUACGAAUGAAAUUAUCCCUAUUAUCUAUAUUCAGUCAAUCAUAAUUUUUCUAAAACAUAGUAUAAUAAAAAUUUUUUAAAAAAUUAUGAUGAAAUCGGUGAACUCCAGAAUAGCAAUUUUAUUAGUUAGGGACACCACAUCACCAAUAUAACCGUUGUAUUUUAGAUUUUUUUUUUACCUAUCAACUAAUAUUGGCAUUGAUUUAUAAAUCUGUAGUUGAAAAUAGUAUAUAAUGUAACAGUCAUAUAAAUGGUCGUGGUGUCUCUAAUAAAUCAAAUUACAUUCUUAGAUUAGCUCAUAAUAUUUUUAUUAUAUAUUUCUAUUAAAAAAGUAUAAUUAAUUAGAUAUAAUUAAUGUGACGUAACUGCUGUACAAUAAAUUUUUUUAGAGUAGUUGAGAGGAUUUUAAUGCAUUCAUAUUUAUACACAAAUGUUGCUAUUGGGAGAAGUUAAAUUCGAAAAGCUGCCAUUGGAGUCCCUAUCAAUUGUCCUGGCACUAAUUAAUGUGACUGCCUCAAUGUUUUUUUUUGUACUGAUUAAUUAUAUCAUUGGUCCCGAUCUUCGUACCGUUUUUCAAUUUGAUAAAUAAUUAUUCUUGUAAAAACUUCAAAAAUCUCUCCCUAUGAUUUCGUAGUUUCUCACUUUGUCCCACUGUGAUUUAAAAUGUAUCAAUUUACCCUCCUGUGAUUUCUUUUUUCUUUUUUUAUUAUUAUUAUUAUUUUUUCUUAAAUCAGUAAUAAAGUUAAUUUAAAGGGUACUAAAGUAAAUAUUUGAUAAAUCUAGAUGGGUAUUUGAAGUUUUUUGUAUAUAAUUUAAUAAAAUAUUAACGAAAAAGUUACCAAAAAGAUAAAAACGAAACCACAUAGGGACAAUUUGAUACAUUUUAAACUAUAGGGGGGCAAAGUGAGAAACUACGAAACCACUGGGAGAUUUUUUGAAGUUUUCCCAUUUUUUUAAUUAAAUAUUUUAUCUUUUAAUUUUAGUAUAAUUAAGUUCCAACCGUCUGUAUUAAAAUUAAUAAAAAAUGUCACGUCAUCCCUAUGUCAAUGUCAUAGAGACGCUGUGUUAGCGCUACGAAGGCACUGUGUCAACACCAACUUAUUAUACAAUUUAAAAUUAAAUUUUAUAUUAUUUAAAUUUUAAAUUUAAAUUGCAUUUUGAAUUAAAGUAUAAAUUCAAAGUAAGAUUUUAAAUUUAAGAUUUAAAUUUAAAAUUUAAAAUUUGAUUUUGGAUUCAAAUUUAAAGUCAAAUUCAAAUUCAUAUUUUGAAUUCUAAUUCUAAUUUAAUUUCAAAUUUUGAUUCGAAAUUUCAAAUUCAAAAUGUGGAUUUGAAUUCGAAGUUUAAAUUCAAAUUUAGAAUUGAAAUCAAAUCUUAAAUUCAAAUUUUAAUUUUGAAUUCAAAUUUAAAAUUUAAAAUCAAAAAUUUUGAAUAUGAUUUUAAAUUUAAAUUUUAGUUUUAGAAUUUUUAUUUUAAAUGCUAUUUCAAAUAUCAAAUCAAAGUUAAAAUUUUAAGUUUGAAAUCAAAAUUUAGAUUCAGUUUUAAGUCAAAUUUGUAGCUUGAAAUUCAAAUUUAAAAUUACAUUUCUGGCUAGUUUAAAAUUUUAAUUUAAUAUUAUUUCUGAACUUAAAUUUUUGCGGACUAAAGUAAAAAAAGAAUACAAAUUUUAGGGACUAAAAUGGAUAUGCAAAAAAAAGCGCCAAGUAGGCACCGGUAUGACGACUCCGUUAUUUUUAACACUUUUUUUUAACGACUUAGACGUAAAUGAAAUGAAACCAAGAGAUUAGGAUCUGAAUUACAAAAAAGAAAAGAUUAGGGAUCCAAAUAAAAAAUAAUGAAGAGGUUGGGGGCCAAUAAUAUAAUUAAUUAUUAUUUGUACACACAAAAGUUGAUGGUGAUGGAUAUGGACACGUGAGAGUGGGGUUGGAACUUGGAACUGGGAGUUUCUCAACUGUAAUUUGUUUACAAAAAAAAGCCUGUAAAGUGGUACUAGCAUUGCAUUAUUAUAUUUUCAUCCAAAAAAAUUACGCCACUAGAAUUUAACUUCUUUACCAUACUUUUUUAAGAAAUUAUUAUAUUUUUCUCUUAAAAUAAUAAAUUUGAUAAUCCAAAAUGAUGCAAUACAAUUGCUACACAAAAGACCAUCUCUUUAUUCACAAACUUCAAUAUCAGCUUCUUGAAUUCGCUUGUAAAAUAAUAGUUUUUAGUUCUAGAGCGAUUCUACUUAUACAUUUUAUAUUAUAAAUAUAAAUCUUAUACCGUAAAAUCUUUGUGGUUUGUGUUUUUUUAAUGGGUAAACUUCAAAUACCACUUUUGUAGUUUCACACUUUCUCAUUUUAGUGCCCUACAGUUUAAAGUGUAUCAAGUUAGUGUCCUGUGGUUUUAUUUUUAUCUUUUUGUCAACUUUUUUGUUAAUAUUUCGUUAAAUUAUAUACAAAAAAACUUCAGAUACUCCACAUAGGUUUAUCGAAUAUUCACUUCAGCAUACUUUAGUUUUAACUUUAUCGCUGAUUUAACGAAAAAAAUAGUAAAAUUGAUAAUAGAAAAAUAAAAAUAAAAUCACAGGAUACUGAAUUAAUACACUUUAAAUUAUAGAGUAAUAAAAUGAGAAAAUUUGAAACUACGGGCGGUCUAUCAAAACUUAAGAAAAACUUUAUCAACCGUCCAAUAUUAGGAUUUAUUAUUACACCGGUGUAAAAAGACGUACAAAAUAGCACUAAUUUUCUUUGAUUUCAAAUAGGGACACGUCACACAAAUUGAGUGUAUCGGUGUACGGUCACCAUCAGGUGUACAACUAGGGCAUCUUCUUUGAUUUUUAAUAGGGACACGUGGACGCAUUGCCUGUGUGGUCACCAUUGGUUGUAAGCGGCAAAGCAGAUUCCCCUCGAAGCAUUUAUGGGACUCAAAUUUUGUGGGUACCGUCCCCACGAAUGGACAUCACGUGGCCGAUUUCACGGGUGCCUAUCUCUGCUGCUUUCGCUUUUUCUGAAAGUACGGGGUAAUUUUUUUUUUUUUUAAAUUUCUAUCUGUGACUGUCGAAUGGGCCACAUGGCAUUCAUCGGCAUAGUCCCCAGCCUAAUUAGUCUGGGGACCAUGUCCAUAAAAUUUUUAUUCGUAUUUAUGAGAACCUCAGGUCUUAUUUGCUAUUGCAUUUUGGGUAGAUUUUAAUUUGCCGCAUUAUAUUUUAGCGUAAUUUUACUUUAUUAUAUAACAUGAUUUAAAGAAUUACACCUCUCUAUCAUGUGGAUUUAUUUUAGUUUUACUAUAAGGAUUAAAUGUAUACAGGUCCUCAUAAAUAUAAUAGUGAAUUAUAAAUAUAUUUAUACAAAGUUCAACUAAUAUAUGUUGUUUCUAUAAAACUUCUAAUAUUUGUAAAUAUGUCCCUCUGGUUUGUUACCACUUAUAUUUUAAGUAAAAUGUCAAUUUUGUCAUCACAUAUAUAUCCCUCCAAAAGCCACAGUAGUAUAAUAUAAGAGGGGCAAAAAUGUCAAGUUAUCUCAUAAACUAAUCAUGCUUAAGUAUUUAACCUAUGGUUAACUAAAAUUUUCUAACGAAUUCUAUUGAUGGGGAUAUUUUUAAAAUAUUAAAUAUUUUACAAGAACAAUAUAUGAAAGUUGAACUUUGUAAAAAUAUAUUUGUAAUUCAUAUUGUUUGUAGAGAUCUAUAUGAAAUUAACCCAUACUAUAAAGGCAUAUUUUUUUUAGUAUUUAGAAUCGAAAUCAGAAUAGGAAUAAGAAUGAACCUGAAUAAAAAACGGAAUGAUAAAAGCUCCAAUUCAUUUAGUUCACAAGAGGAAUCGGCAUCGAAAUCACGUUCAAAAUUCAAAAAAAAUAAAAUUUUGUACUAUUUAAAAUUCGUAGUCAAAAAUUUGAAAUUAAACUUACAAUCACAAUUUGAACUUCAAAUAUGACGAGAAGGGGAAAUCCAGUCCGGUCCACUAAGCACUAAAUGGGCCGGCCGUACUGGACCGGGUUUUUUUUUUUUCGAGGGGGUUUAAAAUGGUUUUCCCCCGCUUCCGAGGACUUUGGCGCGUGACGCGAGAAAUGGAUUUCGAAUGCGGCGACGCGGGCGCGUGGAGAGCGGCGCUCGGCGCGUACGCGGCGCGCGUGGAGACCCUCGCCGGCGCCGCCGCGUCCAAGCGCGAGCUCCUUCCCCUCGACUCCUUCUACCGCGGCGACCUCCCCCUCCUCCUCCGCCGCCGCGGCCCAAAACCCUUCCUCUCCAAAUCCGAGCUCCUCCGCGUCGUCCAAUGGAAGCUCUCGCGCGGCCAAUGGAGGUGACGUACCACCCCAUCCUCCCCCUUUAUCUCUCUCGCUGGCUCGCUCUCUCUCGUUGGUGAUGGGUUCGCUAGGGUUUGUGCAGGCCCCGGCUCAUGGGCUACGCGGAGGCGCUCGGAGAGGCCGAGGUCGAGGCCGCGUCGCGCGCGGCGUUCGCGGCGAUCCCGGACCUCGCCCGCGCCGUGUCCGAGCUCACGGCGCUCAAGGGGGUCGGCCCCGCCACCGCCUCGGCGAUCCUCGCCGCGUUCGCCCCAGAAAUCGCCCCGUUCAUGUCCGACGAGGUGGGAUCCCAAAUGGGCUCUUGUAAAAAUCCCUCCUUUUCAUCUCCCUCAUCAUCUUUUUCUUUUUUCUUAAAUUUUUUUAUGGGUUUUUGAUAGGCUAUGAUGGUUGCUAUGGGGAACAAGGAGUAUACGCUCAAGCACUAUCUUGCGUUCGCGGAGAAGCUACAAAAAAAGGCUAAGGUUCGUUUCUCUACGGAUCAGUUGAAUCAGUUCCUGUUUGCAUUUGUGCACUUAAAUUGUUCGAUAUAAUGCCGCAGUUGAAUCAGAGCUUAGGCGGCGUCUUGCGAACACUCAAAUUAUGUUCUUAUGUGCUUCUAAUAUUUGUAGGUUUAGCUUUCGUAUAUGAGAGUUAAGCAUGCCAGGGUUGUUCUUUCAUUUUAUUUGAAUUAGUUAUAAUUUAAGUAAGUGGGAACUACAAUCCCCGCAGCUCUAUUUAUUAAUCUUGUUGUUUGUCGAUCUCCAUAGGAGUUUCAAUUUUUAUUGUGUCUGCAACCAAUUAUCUUAACUUCUAAAGCACUUGUUGAAAUAUUUUGCUAGUUAUGUAUUUGCAUUCAAUUUCAUGUAGACUUAUUUAUGGCUUGAAAAUUUAGAAACUUCCCAAAAGAAAAAUUCUCAAUUUUUUUCUCUGUCUCGAGUCAUCUAAUUAACGGGAUUUUUGAGGUUUGAUUCAUCGGUGCAUAAGUAAAAAAACCUGGAUUGCUAAUUGAGCGUAGAAUCUGCGAAUACUUUUAGAAGCCUUCACAAAAUUGAAUUGAUGAUAUUUAGCUUGAUGUUGAGACAGUAGUUGGUAAAGUAAUAUCUUGAGUCGUAUACUGUUGUUUUCUGAAGGAAUUAAGCGUCGACGGGGAGAGUUUCACCCCGACAGAUAUUGAGAGGGCCCUGUGGAGCUCUGUUGUGGGCUCAAAAGCGCUCAGUUCUUCCGAGAAGGAUGUUCCAAAAGCCGAUGCCAAGAGAAGCAGCAAAAGAAAAAGAAAGCCUUGAGCUGAAGCUUCUUCAGUUUUCGUCAGUGUCGUCUAUAUCGCAGCAUUGGAAGGUCAGUGUCGCUUAAUUACUUAUGUUUUUGUUCGUUAACUGUUGUGCGCUCUCUCUCUUUCUUUCUCAAGUACUCUUUGUGUACAUUAUGGUUGUACUUGUAUUAGAAAACAAUUGGAAAAAAUGAAGACAACUACAAAUUGAAGAUCCUACUUCAGUUAAACUAGAAUAAGGGGAACCAAUGUUUGAUGUAGAGAAGAGAAGUAAAAAAGAUGAUAAUCAUAAAUUAGAAAAAUAAUAACAAAAAUGUUGGGCUAAGUUUGGGCCAACCUAUGUCCAAUCCUUAUUUGAUGCGGCCCUGAACGGUUGCAUGCAAUUUGUCAUGCUAAAUGCGUAUAAUUUGUCACAUGAAACAUAAAAUAUUAUAUGUUAUCAUCAGAAUCUUAAUAUAUUAUUUGUGAUAUAUAAAAGCCUAAGGUUUUUACAAUCGAGUCUAUUAGAAUAGGUAGGUAGUUUAUCUUAUUUUGUUGGAUAUAAAGAUAGGGGAACUCACAUUACAUGCAAGCACAAGAGAUAAUUGGCACGGGCCCAGAUUGGAUCCAUUUCUCCUUUCUCUUUUAUAGGGUCCGGUCCCGCCCACAAUUAUGGAACUACUUUCCGAACCGGCCCUGACCCAGCCCGCCGAUAUAUUUGUCGGGUCGGGUCUGCGCUAUUCAAAUGCCUACUAGAUUUGAAGUUAUGUUCCAACAAAUCUUUAUGCAGGUCAUGAUUUUUCGAAUAAUUUUAGAAAUUAUUUAAUUUUUAAUAUGUAUAUAUAAGUCCUUGGGUUCUUAAUUUUUUCCUUUUUUAAAAUUCCCUUAGCAAAUUUCAAAGGAAUCUAAGUAUGUUACAUUCAUAAUUUUAACUUUAUUCUCAACUUUGGUGGACAAUAAUUACUUGUAUAAGACUCAUAUACAUCUCAAGUUUAAAGGACACAACUGUGUUAAAAAAAAAUAAAACACAAAAGUUGAAACUAUUAAUGAAGUAUUCUUAGUCUCUAUUAAUAAACCUUCGUGCGACUUUUCGAUUUGGUUUUCAACCUUUUGAUUUUACCAAUUGAGUCUUAAACAUUUAGUAAAACCUCUUUCAUCAAAAAGUCCAUUUUUUCGAUCUGAAGGGAUCUGGUUGGAAAGAGGAGAAAAAAUAAUAGACCAAUUACAGAAAUUAAAACAGUUAGGAACCGAAGUCAAAAAAAAAAAAAAUCUUAUUAAAGUUUAGGAACCUAAUCAGGUCAUAAGUUGUUGACUUCGCUUAUAAUUUUAUUCAUAUGGAACCUAACCUUAGCUUUGAAAAUAGGACUUAGUCAGAUGGAAACUUUCCUUUGUAGUAUCUUUAGGAGGUUGUGCUUACUCACCAAACACUUGCAAAGUAAAUUUUUUAUGUCUAAUUUUUUCUUUUUUUUUUCUUGGUUGGUUGUUGUUGGAGUGUAACCGUGUAAGGAUCACAGAAGCUUCUGUUCAUCUUCAUUAUCCAUAUUAUUAUUGCUAUUGUGGGUACCUCAACAAAAUAUAAGAUCAACUUCUGAUUUAGAUUCUUGAGCUUCAUGAUUAUUUGAUUUGAUUCGGGGAGAUUUUGUUUUGUUCCAAUUAGCAGAUUCUGGUGAAGAAAUUUACAAUCCUUGCAUGCCAAUAACUAGUAUUAAGAGGGUAGGGGGGAAGAAACAAACUUCUGCAGCAUUUCGAAAAUGUCGUAUAUUUUAUAUUUAGAAUGACAAGCUGUUAUCAUGUUACUGAGAUUGGGAGUGUCAGGGGAUUUGUACGUCGUUGUUAUCUGUUCUUGUUGUACCGUACUGCUCAUUUUUCAAAUUCCGUCAAAAUAUGGAAAUGACAAAAUCUCAAUGUAUCUACUAGUUGGGAAAUUUUGGAUGAUUCUGAUAGAUUUUCUAGGCAUGUAAAACAAAGAAGCAAAUUAAAUACAUACCAAAAUCCAGGAUCAAAUAAGAUAAAAUAACUCACAGAGCGCCAUCGAGAAGAAAUUCUUGAUCAAUCCGCAGAAGCGUGAAGUUCGGCUAUGAUCUAGAAGUCACGAACUGAACUUGGGUGAUUUGGUUUUUCCUCCUAUUAAACUGAUGGUAAUUCUUCACCAGAAUACGUAUGAGAAGGUGGCAGGAUCAAUAUCCCUUUAUAUAGAGUCCAGAUUGACUUCCCAUCAAAGUCUGAUUAGGAUUCUAUUUAAAUUUAAAAUAGAUGGGACAGGAAUAAAAUAUACCAUAUCAAGUAGUUCUAUAUCUAUUAGGAUUGACCUUUAUCUAUAGUAAAUUCAGAUUUGAAUAUGAUUAAUUGAGCCACAAUAUAUGGAAAUCCUAACAGAUUCUGCCAGAUUACCAACACCUCUUACAAUUUUUCAUCUUGAGUUGUGUGGUGAUGAUUUCAACAUAUUAAAUGAAAAUUAUAAACAAUUUUUGGGAAACAACCAUUAAAGAGAGAGAGAGAGCCAAUGAUUUGUAAAGAGAACUUAAGGAAAAGUUAGAACCCACAAAGAACAAGGGUAAAUAUGACAUUCUACAUAUCCCAAUCUUAUGACCUGUCAUUGUUUGAUAAGCUUAGGUAGCCCACUUGUUUUCUCCCCAAACCCCCAACCUUUUCGGCUUUUUUGAUGUGGUCCCUUUCUUAAGCACGCCUGCCUCUUUGCCAACAACAUUAUCAUCAUAAGUGGCGUGUGGGGCAAAAAAAUAAAAGUAAAAAAAUACAAAAGAACCAUGCAACUUCAAUGAAUGGUGAAGAAAAAAAACAAAGGGAAAAAAGAAAAAGAAAAGUUCAUAGCUCAAAAGACAUGGUGAGCACUAUGGCUUUAGCUUCUACCUAACUACCUUAAAUCUAGUCAUGCACAUCAUGGGUUUAUUUUGAUUGUCGUCAUAAAUUAUUCAGUGAUAACUUGCGCAGAAUGAAAGAGAAUUUUCGUCGUAGUUACUGUUCAGUAGGAGUUUGACUUCAAUAUUUUGUAAUAUACUGAUCAAUAUCAUUUGUUAGAACAAUACAGUCCACUUAAUAACUUGAACUCUAAAUAUUUGAUGUCAUUCUAAGUAUCUAAUCGUAUUCUUCAUCUACCAAUUGUUGAAAUAAAAAAAAAUAUGUACAAAAUAAGAUAUUUAUGCAUUCAAAGAGAGCCUAUAUAUAUAUAUAUGUUCAUACUAGUACAGUUACUAAGAAUUUUUUUUUUAUUUGAUCCACAACAAAAGCUCCAGGUUUUGCUAUUCAGCAAAUUUAAUAGUUUAGUCACUUUUUAGAAAAAUGAAGAUCAUAUUCCAAAAUAGUCCAUAGUUGAGGAUUUUAAUAAUGAAAAACAUUUUAGUUUGUGAAUAGCUCUAAACAGAUUCUAUAGCAGGGCAAGUAGGUCCUCUAUAUAUAUAAUAUUAAGUCUACAAAAGCACUUUUCCUUAGAGCCACAAGUGUGGUAUAAUGGUGCAUAUAUGAUUAAUGCCUAUUCUAAUCAAAAUGAACCCUUACAGAUAGUCCCAGUUCUCUUUAUAUAUUUUUUAAAAAUUUUAUUUCAUGUUUUGGGGUUCAAAAAGAGUAUUCUCGUGUCGACUUGCUUAGUGCUUUGUUCACUAAUAUGAGAUCACAAUAAAAGAGAAUCUAAUUCCCUCAUUAGUGGGGCGAUUAAUUAAAUCGCUAGAUAGAUUUAGGAUCCGUUUGGCCGGGUAUAGAAUAUAUACUAUUUUUAAAUACAGUGUUGCGGAUUCGAUGAAUUUGAUUCUGUCGUAAAAAAAAAAAAAAUACUGUAAAAUGGAUGCUGCUUCUUUAAGAUGUAUUCGUUAAAAUGUAAACUUUCAUUGUUAUAUAUCAUCUCUAGAACCAGUAUCCUCGUGCAAUCCCUACGGUCCGCGUAAUUACUUGCUGCUUCUUGGAUUAGAGAAAGGUGAAAACGGAUCGGAUAUUAUCUGGUAGUAUCCGCAUUCAUAUCUGAUCUUAUCUGCAUUAGGAUUAGAAAUAUUCGAAUCGGGUUGAAUACGGAUGUCGAUAUGAUUUUAGAGAGUCGAAGAAAUUCGGACUUUCUAGUAGUAUUACUUAUUUACAUUUAUAUUAAUAUGUAAGGAGGGUGAUAUUAUACAUAUAUUAUUACAGGAAAAUAAUGUUGUUUAUUUUACUGAGUUUUAUAUUAAAAUUGUAUCUAUAGUUGUUCAACCUUAUAAGAAUGGAAAAAUUUUAAAUGUAAGUGUGAAGCUUUAGCUAAAUUAUUGCUAAUUCUAGCUUAUGUUUUUAUAAGUGCAUAUCUGAAUCUAAAAAAAAUUCCACUGUAUCCGAAUUUGCUUAGAAAAUUUAACAUCUGAUACAAAUUCUUAUCCGAAUUCGUAUCGGAUAUGUAUUCGUCCAAUAUCCGACUAAAUCCGACCCAUUUUAUACAACCAUAGAGUAGUCACCUACUUGGGGGCUAGGGUUACUAUACUCUUAUGAUUAUAGAGCACUUCGUACUCAUAAGUUAUUUGUACUGAUGGAGCUUUUGAAUCGAUGAUCCGCUCCCUUAAAUAUGAUCAAGAGUAUUUGAAACUUUUAGAAAAUAAAUUUCGUAAUUUUUUGAAAUCAUAAUAAAGUUCAUCAAGUGGGUAUAAAAUGAACAGUUAAAAUCGAACGACGUCUUAAAAAUGGAUGAUCGGAUCAUUCAAUUUAAGAUCGGAGUUAUUGAUCUUUAUUUAUGUAGCGAAUAGAAUUUUCUAUUAAAAAUUCAACUGAUUUCGAUUCUUUUACACCGUUAAACUAGCAAAUAUUCCACACCGACCGUUAAAAAUUAUCAAUUUUGUGACUUUUUGAUCGUAAGGUAAAUAAUGGCAAAAAAUUAUAAAAUUUAAUUUCUAGAUGUUUUAAAUGUUCUAAAUAACGUUUAACGGUGUGAAUCGUCGAUUCGGAAGCUCUAUCAUCGAAAACAAAAUACGAGUACGAGUACGAUCGUACCCAUAAGAGUAUAAUAGCCGGACUCUCCACUUGGGUACAAAUACAAUCAACACCUCUCUUUCACUCUCUCUCUCUCUCUCUCUCUCUUUCUCUUUUGGGAGAAAGGUCCCCUCCAAUCUCUGCCCCCUUUUGCAGCAGGCCUUGCAAUAUGAACUCUGGUGAACAAAUGAGGCAGAAGUCCUCUUUUGUUUGGCAUGAUGAUUGGUCCCCUCUCCCAACUCAUCUCUCCUCUGCAAGGAAAAGGAAAGGCUCAUGUGACAUCUGCUUCUGCUUUUUGCUGCUGCUGCUGCUGCUGCUGCAGCUGCAGCUACUGUGACUGCAGCUGCUGCUAGUAAUUGUCCUUGCAAACUGUGAUUCUUGUCAGGAUUUCACUGCCAUGCUUAUGUUUUAGGCUUGGUUUUGCCUUGAGGGCAAUGAAAGAGUAAUUUUUUUUUUAAAAAAAAAAACUGAAAUACAAAAUCUUUUUUGGUAAAUAUUUAUUUUUUCACUUUUCAUCUCCGACUUUUAAAAAUCUAUAUUUUAUCCACUUAAAAUUUCAUAAAUAUUUUCAGAGAGGGGUAGGGCGUUAAUAGAGAGGACAAAAUGACUAAAUUGUUCUUAUUUUUUAUAUAUAUUUUUAAUAUAGUUAUAUUAUUUUGAAUAGUAUUUUUGAUAUAAAUUAUGAAAAAUAGACGGAAUAGUAAUAAAAUUCUGACGGAGGAGGAUUAAAUACAACAAUUUAAAAUGUUGAUGUAGUAAAAUAUAGAUUUUUAAAAGUUAGAAAAGAAAAGUAAAAAAACUCGGGUAUUUAUAAAAUUUUUUUUUAUACUUUAGCCAAUA
rnacentral:lncRNA from 1 species